CACACAUUAACAUACAUCAGCAAGUGGCAUAAUCUUAUGACAUUACUUCUGACUGCAGACAGGUGUUGAUUUUGCUACAUGCGAACAAAUAUCUGAUGAUGUUUAUUGCAGAUAUGCAGUAUACACGUCAUUCAAAAAAUCCACAACAACUAUGCUGCUUCUCGUUCAGGCAAAAUCACAGAAAUACACCACUUAAUGUGUGAAAGCAUAAUAAAUGGAUGGAUGGAUGUCAACCCCCUGAGAUCCAACCUCAGAAUCACUUUCACUUCCCAAGAAACAACAGCUGACCCUCACACUUGUAUAUAAGGCACAGUCGAGUCUUAGGCUCCUCAUCCUGUGUGAGAUAAUGGGUCUAAUGACAGCUGUAGCGAUCACAGCUGGGGCAGGAUGGAGUAAACAACUAGAGGGCUUUUGAGGCAGUUAGAACAGGGUGAGUUACCUUCAUCAUCGGCUCCAUCUAGGCUCUACACUGCGUAUUGGAUAAGGCCCGAAGGAUAAAUGACUAGACAUUUAAACUAAGAGCUGAUCCAGACUUCCUGUAUUGGGGUGCUGGUUCCACAGAUUGACACACGUCAUUAUGCUGCAGUGAGGAUAAAGCUUUCCCUUCUGUUGGAUUCUACCUCAAGGUCAACUAAAACAUUUGAAUAUAUAUUUGAAUAUAUUUAAAUCUACCAGGCGCUCCUGCUGUUUCCUCUCUCUGUUUGUUUUGUUUAAACAAAGAGAGAGAGGAAACAGAAAAUAUAUUACCUGCGAACUACAAGGUUGCUAUGACACUCACUGGAACUGCACCUCCGUAAAAUAUAGCAAAAUAUGACAUCAGUUUGGAAGUACUGGAUCCUGCUGCUAUUCCACUUGAAAAGAACCUCAGUUCAGCCACAACAGAAGGAG
ensembl:lncRNA